rnacentral:rRNA from 1 species
GACACGCUGGCGGCGUGCUUAACACAUGCAAGUCGAACGGGAGUAUUGAAGAAGCUUGCUUUAGAGAUACUUUAGUGGCGGACGGGUGAGUAACGCGUGAGGAGCUGUCCUAUGCAGGGGGACAACAGCUGGAAACGGCUGCUAAUACCCCAUAAGCCGAGAGGUAAAAGGAUCAAUCCGGCAGAGGAGGUACUCGCGUCCUAUCAGCUAGUAGGUGAGGUAACGGCUCACCUAGGCGAAGACGGGUAGCCGGCCUGAGAGGGCGAACGGCCACACUGGAACUGAGAUACGGUCCAGACUCCUACGGGAGGCAGCAGGUGGGGAAAUAGUUGGGCAAUGGGGGAAACCCUGACCCAGCGACGCCGCGUGGGUGAAGAAAUCCUUCGGGAUGUAGAGCCCUGUUGUAUGGGAAGAGCGGAAGACGGUACCAUACGAGGAAGCCCCGGCAAACUACGUG